UUGAAAAGAAGAUUAUGUCCAUGUGGAGGAGGAUUGGUGUCCAUUUCCAAAGUGGGAAGAUUGAGUUGUGCCAGUUUUGCCUUUGAUUAUCCACCUAAGGUGCCUGUGCAGAUUCAACAGGAUGUUGACCUGGAUCUCUCAGAACAGCUCAUGGAGAGGAAAGACCCUCUGACACAAAAACCACGUCACUGGAGAGGGAACUGUAGUGUCAGGGAGGGCAUCUGGAAGAUCAAAGUGGGAAUAAACCAAUCACUCCAGGCUGUA